rnacentral:rRNA from 1 species
CCUACGGGAGGCAGCAGUGGGGAAUAUUGGACAAUGGGGGCAACCCUGAUCCAACCAUGCCGCGUGUGUGAAGAAGGCCCUCGGGUUGUAAAGCACUUUCAGUGAGGAAGAACGCCUGGUGGUUAAUACCCAUCAGGAAAGACAUCACUCACAGAAGAAGCACCGGCUAACUCCGUGCCAGCAGCCGCGGUAAUACGGAGGGUGCGAGCGUUAAUCGGAAUUACUGGGCGUAAAGCGCGCGUAGGUGGCUGGAUAAGCCGGUUGUGAAAGCCCCGGGCUCAACCUGGGAACGGCAUCCGGAACUGUCAAGCUAGAGUGCAGGAGAGGAAGGUAGAAUUCCCGGUGUAGCGGUGAAAUGCGUAGAGAUCGGGAGGAAUACCAGUGGCGAAGGCGGCCUUCUGGACUGACACUGACACUGAGGUGCGAAAGCGUGGGUAGCAAACAGGAUUAGAUACCCCGGUAGUC